AUCUUGACUGGCCUAGUGGUUAGAGCAUCUAUCUCGGAUUCAGGAGGUCGCGGAUUCAAACCCCGGCUGAGACA